rnacentral:rRNA from 1 species
GACGAACGCUGGCGGCGUGCUUAACACAUGCAAGUCGAACGGAAAGGCCUCUUUCGGGGGGUACUCGAGUGGCGAACGGGUGAGUAACACGUGAGUAACCUGCCCUUGACUUUGGGAUAACUUCAGGAAACUGGGGCUAAUACCGGAUAGGAGCUCCUGCUGCAUGGUGGGGGUUGGAAAGUUUCGGCGGUUGGGGAUGGACUCGCGGCUUAUCAGCUUGUUGGUGGGGUAGUGGCUUACCAAGGCUUUGACGGGUAGCCGGCCUGAGAGGGUGACCGGCCACAUUGGGACUGAGAUACGGCCCAGACUCCUACGGGAGGCAGCAGUGGGGAAUAUUGCACAAUGGGUGGAAGCCUGAUGCAGCAACGCCGUGUGCGGGAGGACGGCCUUCGGGUUGUAAACCGCUUUCGCUCAUGACGAAGCUUUGUGUGACGGUAGUGGGUAAAGAAGCACCGGCUAACUACGCG